AUCCAGCAGGAUUCCACUUCAUGUGGUGUGUUCAUUUGCAAGCUUGCAGAGCAAAUACUGCUCAAAGAAAAGGUCCAGUACCCAGUGGACCUGGAAGGAGUGGCCUCAAUGAGGUUCCAGAUGGCAAUGGCUCUUGUGAAAAACUCAGAUGACCUAUCCCAGCUGUGUCGGGCCUGUGGGGAACGUAACUCAGGGCCUAAGGUUGACCAAUGGGUAAGAAGUUGUAUUAAUUUCCAGACCAACAUUUGUCUGGAAGACUGGGAUACA